rnacentral:tRNA from 1 species
GGAGGGGUGGCAGAGCGGCUGAAUGCACCGGUCUUGAAAACCGGCGAUGGGCGACCAUCCGUGGGUUCAAAUCCACCUCCUCCGCCA